rnacentral:rRNA from 1 species
UAGGGAAUAUUGCACAAUGGGCGAAAGCCUGAUGCAGCAACGCCGCGUGAGUGAAGAAGGCCCUUGGGUUGUAAAGCUCUUUAGCCUGGAAAGAAGUGUCCAUGAGUAAACAAUUCAUGGAUGUGACGGUACCAGGAGAAUAAGCACCGGCUAAUUUCGUGCCAGCAGCCGCGGUAAUACGAAAGGUGCAAGCGUUACUCGGAAUUACUGGGCGUAAAGCGCGCGUAGGCGGUCUUGUAUGUCGAUUGUGAAAGCCCCGGGCUCAACCUGGGAAUAGCAGCCGAAACUGCAUGACUUGAAUGUUGGAGAGGGUGGGGGAAUACCUAGUGGAGAAGUGAAAUUCGUAGAGAUUAGGUGGAACACCAGAGGCGAAGGCGCCUGCCUGGCCAAACAUUGACGCUGAGGCGCGAAAGCGUGGGGAGCAAACAGGAUUAGAUACCCCUGUAGUCC